ensembl:snoRNA small nucleolar RNA SNORA16B/SNORA16A family
ACAGGCUCCUAUCGAAGCCCUUCACGCUCUGCGGUAGCACUGAAGGGUCAACAGGAAGCCGAUAGAAACACUUUCACCGACGGUCGCUGUUCAGUUAAAUGUAACUGCUUCAGCAACAUUUAGGGGAAGGACAUGU